rnacentral:misc_RNA from 1 species
GGAAGUUUGGAUAUGUCAUAUGUGUAAUGAGUUAUAUGCGUUCCUACUUUAUGAUGUUCCUUGGUUGUUUGCAUAUGGUUCCUUUGACAUAUGGAUGGUGUAUAUUUUGUGUAUAUGGAUGUACCCUCUAAUCUCAUUUGGUUCUACGACAUUGAGAGCAUAAAAAAGAUAAAUAGCUAAAUGAAAUUAGCAUUCUCUCUCUUAGUUAUAUAACAUUUUUUUCCUAUAUUGUUCUCUUCGCCAGAGAAUAUAACUUACAAUUUGGAUGAAACUUAUCAAUAUUUUUUAUCCAUUCAAUCACAG